CAGUAGUGAUGAAAUUCCAUUUCAUUGGUCCGUGUUUCUGAACAGCAUGAUUUUCUUGGAUAUUCUGAUACU
ensembl:snoRNA SNORD18 Small nucleolar RNA SNORD18